AUGCUUCAGAGGAUCAUCUUGGAUUCGUUUCUUACUAUCAAUGUCUGUAACCUGCUUUUGGAGGGGGGAUGCCAGGAUGGUGUCACCCGAAGGCCACAGAAAACUACCAUAGCUCAAGUGGGAAGCUGUGUCUCCUCUGCUCAAGUGCAUCUACUAUUCAGUGACGUUGCCUUUUCAAUGGGAAUUUGUGCCCUCUCCAGCUGUGCUGCUGUGCCCAAACCAUACACAAGCAGGAAGGCAUGGCAAGUCUCAAGGUUGAGGAUGUGGCACCAUGUGGAUAUUAGAAGCUGGAAAGUGGGGAGAAGAAGGCAUUUAGGACAGGCACGGCAUGGAGUUUACUUCGCCAACACUGGUGUCAGCGUAUACCCAGGAACUGCAAAUACUGGUUGGAAACACGUUGUGCUGUCCAGAGGCAUAAUUACAGAAAGCUUGUAGUUGUCUUUAUCACAAAGUUUUAAUUAGCAGGACACAUUAAAUAACCAGCUGAUACAGAUCUUAAUGAAUCAUUUAUAGGCCUACAUCUAGGAUAAUUAUAUGUAGCUGAUCACAUGAAAUCACUUGCAUACGCCUGGGCUUAUAUGAAAUGGAAUAUGCAUCUUCCUCAUGAAAUAAGGGUGAAAGAGAGGGAUGGGAUGAAACUGGGGCACCAGCCUACCUUCCCCAAGCUGUUUGUGCAUGGAGUAUUGCCAACAAAAUAAAUAUAGCUGGCUUCAGGAAGUCUGCCGAGCC
rnacentral:lncRNA from 1 species